rnacentral:rRNA from 1 species
CCUACGGGCGGCAGCAGUGAGGAAUAUUGGUCAAUGGACGAGAGUCUGAACCAGCCAAGUAGCGUGAAGGAUGACUGCCCUAUGGGUUGUAAACUUCUUUUAUAUGGGAAUAAAACGUUCCACGUGUGGGAUUUUGUAUGUACCAUAUGAAUAAGGAUCGGCUAACUCCGUGCCAGCAGCCGCGGUAAUACGGAGGAUCCGAGCGUUAUCCGGAUUUAUUGGGUUUAAAGGGAGCGUAGGUGGAUUGUUAAGUCAGUUGUGAAAGUUUGCGGCUCAACCGUAAAAUUGCAGUUGAAACUGGCAGUCUUGAGUACAGUAGAGGUGGGCGGAAUUCGUGGUGUAGUGGUGAAAUGCUUAGAUAUCACGAAGAACUCCGAUUGCGAAGGCAGUUCACUGGACUGCAACUGACACUGAGGCUCGAAAGUGUGGGUAUCAAACAGGAUUAGAUACCCUUGUAGUC